GGGUAAGGGGUUCACCCAUGGUCACAUGUGUUGCAAGUGGUGGUGUUUGGACGAAAACCUGCAUUGAGACAGGCCUAUCCAUCCCCAAAGGUCUUGAGAUUUCCCAAGUGGCCACUGUACCAUUUUCUAAAAUCUCCAGCCUCAACAGAGAUAAAUGCCAGCCAACCCAGCUCCCUGGCACCCCCACCUGGUCCUGCAAGAACAGCUGACUGGCCAUCUGCACGAUCUGGUCCACGUGGAUGAUGCCCCCGAUGCUGGUCAUCUCCGUGUCCGAGAGCAGCGUCAGCACCAUGAUGGCUUCCACCAGCAGCUGCCGGUACUCGGGCUGCGGCACGCGAUUCAGCACCGAUUCGACAUGGACAGCAAACUUGAUCUCAUGCGGGGUCAUCUACCAAAGGGACAGGCAGGCAACCACCAGUGAGAGGACAGAUGCAGCCCUAUCAAUCACCGAGUAACCAAGGGUGACCGUAGCAGUGCCUGGGCUCGGGGCUCAGCGCCACUGCUGCCCCUUUUCUGGCCACUCUCUGGAUCCUGCUGGCAGUGGCCCUCAGAGCAGGAGGCUGGAGUGUGCCUCCAGGAGCCAGCCUGUCCUAGCCUGAUUUAUCUACCCUUCCCCCCAUCGACUACAGCUUCCAGGGAGCAGGGACCAUUUCUGGUUUCUCUUUCCUCUUCAUUAUUCCUUCCAGCAUGAAGCAUGGUGCUUUGGGUGGGGUAAAACUAAAAAAAUCCAUGUUAAAAAGAAUGACAAAUCACCUAGGGACGAUUACUGUUUUUAGUUGGAGAAAAGGGCCGAGAAGGCUGCCCAUGGGGCAGGCCAGGGUGGCAUGGAGAUUGGCUCCUUUCUUUCACCAGGGUUCUAAGGGGUGUCUGGCAAAUGCAAAGAGCUUGCUAGCCUAGAAAUGCUGAGUCUCAGGUGAAGAAAAAGGCUGAUGCCAAUAAAUGCAGGAAGGACA